CUGGUGCUCUUCUAGCAGCUCUGUCAAAUACUGACCACUAUCAACAUCUGGGGUUGUUCUUAUAAGUGGAGACAGAGUUCUUGCAGGUGAAAAAUUCUGUGUGUAUGAGCCAGACAUGAAUAUGGUCUUGAAAGAAACACACAGAGAGACAAAGGGAAGAAGAAGAAGGGUAGGCAAAGUCCUGCCCCCUAAACAGUGAAAAGGAAAAGAAAAAGAGAGGAAAAUUGAAAAAAAAGAAAAAAGUUGG
rnacentral:misc_RNA from 1 species